UGAAUCAACACAUCACUCCUAACUUUUGCCUACCCACACCUAAAUAUUUUUGCCUAUCCAAUUCGACCUAUCAGGAUACUAUCAAGCUCGAUAUCAAUGAAUCAAAUCAACAAAAUCAUUUUUAUCAACUUUUAACUUUCGCCCCACAACAAUAAAUUUUAAUUCUGAAACGAGAUAUUAUUUCAUCACAUAAUCCAUAAUCAAUCCACAAUCAAGGGAAUAAA
rnacentral:lncRNA from 1 species